rnacentral:rRNA from 1 species
GACGAACCGUCCUAACGUUGUUCGGAUUCACUGGGCUUAAAGGGCGCGUAGGCGGCUUGCCAAGUCAGGGGUGAAAUCUUUCGGCUUAACCGGAAAAGUGCUUCUGAUACUGGCGAGCUGGAGGGAGGUAGGGGCAGACGGAACUUCCGGUGGAGCGGUGAAAUGCGUAGAUAUCGGAAGGAACGCCGGUGGCGAAAGCGGUCUGCUGGAUCUCUUCUGACGCUGAGGCGCGAAGGCCAGGGGAGCAAACGGG